rnacentral:lncRNA from 1 species
CUGCUGCUGCCGCUGCCUGCAGAGAGCAGGGGCGCAGAUGGGAAGAGGCUGCAGCUGCGGGGCAGGUGCCAUCCCCCGCUGCCGCAGGAGGGGCAGCAGCCCCCUCGGGCAGCUCGCCGGCUCAGGCGGGGAUUUGGUUGUGACAGCCCAGCUCCAUGUCGGGGCAUGCAAGUCGCAGGAGGCUGCACUUGGCAGAAGCUGCUGCCAGAGAAAGGGGCCAAGGAGCAACUGAGCAUGGAUGCUUCUACAGAGGGGAUGUGGAGUGUGACACGGGAAACAACCAAGUGCCAAGAUCUUGAUCCAGCCCCAGAGCUGCUAACUGCCGAUUAUCCCAAGCUUGAAACCAGGAGAGUCAACUCCCUUUGACCAGCGAGCUCCCCCCAGACCACAGGCAAGGACUCUGGAC